UCGAGAAUCUUCGGCAAUGGGCGCAAGCCUGACCGAGCGACGCCGCGUGUGGGAUGAAGGCCCUUGGGUUGUAAACCACUGUCAGAGGGGAUGAAAUGCACGAGAGCUAUCUCUUGUGUUUGACAUAGCCUCAGAGGAAGCACGGGCUAAGUUCGUGCCAGCAGCCGCGGUAAUACGAACUGUGCAAACGUUAUUCGGAAUCACUGGGCUUACAGGGUGCGUAGGCGGUCUGUUAAGUAGGGUGUGAAAGCCCCCGGCUCAACCGGGGAAUUGCGCCCUAAACUGGCGGACUGGAGUGAGAUAGGGGUGUGCGGAACUUCCGGUGGAGCGGUGAAAUGUGUUGAUAUCGGAAGGAACGCCGGUGGCGAAAGCGGCACACUGGAUCUCAACUGACGCUGAGGCACGAAAGCCAGGGGAGCGAACG
rnacentral:rRNA from 1 species